rfam:Oryza sativa Japonica Group DNA, chromosome 10, cultivar: Nipponbare, complete sequence.
AAUAAAUGUAGUUCUAUGCUAUUUAUAUCAAACAUUUGACUGUUUAUCUUAUUUGAAAUAUUUUUAUUGUUAUUAGAUGAUAAAACAUAAAUAGUACUUUAUGUGUAACUAUUUUUUUUAUUUUUCAUAAAUUUUUCAAAUAAUAUGGAUUGUCAAAUGUUAGACAUGGUUAUCCAUGGCUAUAAUUAUU